AUGUUGAAGGGAUAUUACUGCCCUCUGUUGAUGUGUUUGUGCAUUACAAGCAAUAAAAGGUGUUCGUUAAAAACAUCAGGUUAUGGGCCCAGAGGUCGCCAAGGGAAGCUGCUAACACGUUUUUUGGGAGUCAUAAACAGGAUUGUGGGAUUCACAAUGGAAGAUAGACUGUUUAUUGACAAGCUGAGCGGACCGGAGAAUUGGGCAACGUGGAAAUUUCAACUGGAGCACCUGUUGAAGGCAAAAGGACUGUGGGGUAUGGUACAGGAGACGGAGCAGCUAGCUGCGGAUGCUAAUGCCCAAGUACGAGCUGAAUUUGAACGGAAGAAGGAAAAGGCUUUUUCAGUGCUGGUACUGAAUGUAAGUACACCCCAAUUGUACUUGAUAACAAACUGUAAGACCCCCAAAGAAGCAUGGGAGAUGCUAAAAGCACAGUUUGAAAGAGAUACUGUUGCUAACAAGCUAUUUCUGAAGAAGAAGUACUUCCGGUGUGAAAUGAAGGAAGGAGAACAUCUCAAUGAUCAUUUAAAAAGGAUGAAGGAACUUACUGAUCAGCUAGGGGCAAUAGGUUCUGUAAUUGAAGGGGAAGAUCAAAUUGUCACCCUUCUAGGUAGUUUGCCACCCAGCUAUGCAACUGUUGUUACUGCUUUGGAGACAAAGAUGGACAGUCUGACACUACAGUUUGUUCAACAAGCCUUGAUAAAUGAGGAACAAAAGCGAGUGCUUACUGACAACACCACUGUGUCCAGUAGUGUAUCAGCUAUGUCAUCUCAGAUGCAUAGAAAUGAGCAGAGUGGAUCAAAAACAGUGGGAGCAAACAGCUCCGACUCAUGGAGAUGUUACAAAUGUGGGAAGGAAGGACAUAUCAAGCGUGAUUGUCCAAGCAUUAAAAAGAAAUACAAAACCCACAAGGCUAAAAGCGUGGUGUAUAAGGACAAAGAGGACUCAUAUGAGGGAGCUUUUGUUGUAAAUGAGUCAUGUAAAAGUGAUGCACAACAAGAAGAAUGGUUAAUUGAUUCAGGAGCAUCAAAACACAUGACAUGGAAUAAAGAAUCUCUACAGAACUACCAAGAGUUUUCAGAACCACAAACAGUGAAACUCGGUGAUGGCAGAGUAGUCGAGGCUUUAGGUCUGGGCAACAUAACAAUGAAAAUGUCAUUCAGAGUUAGUGAUGGAAAAGAUGUCACAAUGUAUGAUGUGCUGUAUGUUCCCAAAUUAUCAAUGAACCUUUUCUCAGUGGGAGCUGCUGCCAAAAAGGGAAACACAGUGAAGUUCAAAAGGACUCAUUGCUACAUAAGAGGAACGAAUGGAGCUCUCCAUGGAAUGGGAACACAAAGAUCUGACGGAUUGUAUCAGCUGCAGUGGCGUCGUUAG
rnacentral:lncRNA from 1 species